rnacentral:rRNA from 1 species
UGCAAGUCGAGCGAGACGUCGACUUCGGUCGAUUAGUAAAGCGGCGAACGGGUGAGUAACACGUGGAUAACCUGCCCUGGAGUGGGGGAUAACCUGGGGAAACUCGGGCUAAUACCGCAUACGUUCUCAGCAUUAUGAUGCUGAGAGGAAAGCUGGCCAAUUCUUGAAAGCCAGCGCUCCUGGAGGGGUCCGCGCCCGAUUAGCUAGUUGGUGGGGUAAUGGCCCACCAAGGCUGCGAUCGGUAGCCGGCCUGAGAGGGCGAUCGGCCACACUGGGACUGAGACACGGCCCAGACUCCUACGGGAGGCAGCAGUGGGGAAUAUUGGACAAUGGGCGCAAGCCUGAUCCAGCAACGCCGCGUGGAGGACGAAGGCCUUCGGGUCGUAAACUCCUGUCAGUUGGGACGAAAAGUCGUCGGUCAAUAUCCGACGAUCAUGACGGUACCAGCAGAGGAAGCCCCGGCUAACUCCGUGCCAGCAGCCGCGGUAAUAC